rnacentral:rRNA from 1 species
UCCUCCCUCUUUCCUCGUGCUUAACACAUGCAAGUCGAACGGAAAGGCCCUGCUUUUGUGGGGUGCUCGAGUGGCGAACGGGUGAGUAACACGUGAGUAACCUGCCCUUGACUUUGGGAUAACUUCAGGAAACUGGGGCUAAUACCGGAUAGGAGCUCCUGCUGCAUGGUGGGGGUUGGAAAGUUUCGGCGGUUGGGGAUGGACUCGCGGCUUAUCAGCUUGUUGGUGGGGUAGUGGCUUACCAAGGCUUUGCCGGGUAGCCGGCCUGAGAGGGUGACCGGCCACAUUGGGACUGAGAUACGGCCCAGACUCCUACGGGAGGCAGCAGUGGGGAAUAUUGCACAAUGGGCGGAAGCCUGAUGCAGCAACGCCGCGUGCGGGAUGACGGCCUUCGGGUUGUAAACCGCUUUCGCCUGUGACGAAGCGUGAGUGACGGUAAUGGGUAAAGAAGCACCGGCUAACUACGUG